GACGAACGCUGGCGGCGUGCUUAACACAUGCAAGUCGAGCGAGGGGCUUCGGCUCCUAGCGGCGAACGGGUGAGUAACACGUGGGCAACCUGCCCCGAGCUCUGGAAUAACCUCGGGAAACCGGGGCUAAUGCCGGAUAUGACACUGCCGGGCAUCUGGUGGUGUGGAAAGAUUUAUCGGCUCGGGAUGGGCCCGCGGCCUAUCAGCUUGUUGGUGGGGUGAUGGCCUACCAAGGCGACGACGGGUAGCCGGCCUGAGAGGGCGACCGGCCACACUGGGACUGAGACACGGCCCAGACUCCUACGGGAGGCAGCAGUGGGGAAUAUUGCGCAAUGGGCGAAAGCCUGACGCAGCGACGCCGCGUGGGGGAUGAAGGCC
rnacentral:rRNA from 1 species